rnacentral:rRNA from 1 species
AUGCACGGAUGUGAGAGCAUCCUGGAGGGGAUUCGUCUCGAUGCGGUCUGGUCGCGACUACCUGUUAUCAUGGUCAGCGAUUGUGCCUCUGUCAUUCAGGCCUUAGCAGGCAAUGAGCAUUGCAUUUCUAGACUGUGCACUGCAUUUGUAGACUGGGUGCUAUAUUCAGUGAAAUUCAGAGAGGCUGAAACAUUAACUGACUUCAAGUUCAUGGUAGCCAAAAGAGAGCAAAAUCGAGCAGCUCAUGAGACAGUGGCCUUUGUUUGCCAAACAGGAGUUGUUGGUAUUUGGGAUUCUGUUUUCCCAGACAUAAUAGCCCAUGAAAUUGACACUGAUUGUAAUGCCCAAUUUCAAAUGAAUAUAUUAAACUCUUUAAGUGUGGUGUGA